rnacentral:rRNA from 1 species
UGGGGAAUUUUGGACAAUGGGCGAAAGCCUGAUCCAGCCAUGCCGCGUGAGUGAAGAAGGCCUUCGGGUUGUAAAGCUCUUUUAGUCGGAAGGAAAAGAUCAUAAUGAACAAUUAUGAUUCAUGACGGUACCGACAGAAAAAGCACCGGCUAACUACGUGCCAGCAGCCGCGGUAAUACGUAGGGUGCGAGCGUUAAUCGGAAUUACUGGGCGUAAAGGGUGCGCAGGCGGUUUUGUAAGACAGAUGUGAAAUCCCCGGGCUUAACCUGGGAAUUGCGUUUGAAACUGCAAGACUAGAGUGCGGAAGAGGGGAGUGGAAUUCCAUGUGUAGCAGUGAAAUGCGUAGAGAUGUGGAAGAACACCGAUGGCGAAGGCAGCUCCCUGGGUUGACACUGACGCUCAUGCACGAAAGCGUGGGGAGCAAACA